GGACAGCGAUGGUGAAACAAUAUAUCCUGCUGGUAAUCAACAUGAACAGUCGUUUGCCUAUCUUGUCGUUGAUCCGCUGAAACGAAAUGUAUUUCUUUGGUAUCAUCAGUGGCGAGGUAUUGCUUGGUAAAUUGGCCAUACAUUUCCUGAAAUCAAGUCAGUGACUCAGGGUUGUAUAUAUUCAGUAGCUAAUUGCGUGAUUAGCUCUAGCGAUAUGCGUCAUUUUUAAAAACCGUGUUUCACCAAACAUUCUUUUCUCCAAUUUGAUCGUUUGUGGAGAGACAUGUUAUCCUAUUAGGUGUCACUACAAAAAAUAAGAUAAGACUGCUAUAUGCUGGUGCAUUCCAGUUGCGUUCUUAAUGACAUUGGAAUCCUUUUCAGUAUACAUCGUAAUCUCGAACCCAAUGAAACACAUUUUUGGAACGCUAGAAAUGUUGCAAAUGCAAUUGAAACGCAAUGGUAGGUCAUUUCAGGGGAAUAUUUUAUAUUCAUAAAUGCCAUUAUGUCAAUCAUGCAUUAUGCAUGUGCAUAAUGCAUGAUUGAUAUAAUAACAUUUCCUUAGUGAUUGAACAUUUAUUCCGAAUUGUUAUAAAAAUUCCAUGUGCAUUGGAUUCAAUGGAAUUGGAUUCUGUCUGGACCGGUCAACCUGAUUUUUCC
rnacentral:lncRNA from 1 species